UUGGAUGGCCUGUAGCUGCCUAUUCACCCGCUCAGCCACCUGGCUAUGCAUAUAAUGAAUGUAACUACUGCCAUUACAAGCUACCCUGCGGGAAUCAGCAUGAGUCACAGGUGUUCAGAGCUGUUCAGAUGCUUUGCUGCCCUCCUUAAGACAUACCCCCCGCCCAAAAAAAAAAAUCAACUUCAGGGGACACUGAAAUGUGGGCUUUGCUUUUAAUGGCCCUACUUUGUGUGUAGGUGUGCACACACAUGCACACAAUUGAUGCGUAGGGGUGUGGAGUGGUCAACUGAUGAGGCACUGUGGAGGCUGAGAGCUCUGGAGAGUGGUGUGUGGGUUGGAAGCCUCCUCUCCUCGCAGCGAAACACACACACACAAACACACACACACACACACACACACACACACACACACACAAAGCUAGGGGAGGUGGAGGCAGCAGAGCUUGCUUCGCCGACUGUCCAUUGAUCAGUGGAGAGGUUGGUAGACUUAAAAGAUCAGUGUAGAGACUGGUGGAGAGCAGAGAGAGGGAUGGAGAGGAGGUUACGAGGUCCUGUAGGAUACGGCAGAGACAGGGAGAAAAAAGAAAAGAAGAGAAAAAGCUAGAGAGAGAAAGACAGAUAGAAAGACAUAAGCAAAGUGUGAGAAGAGAUAGAGAUGAGGGGAGAAAUAAAGAGGCAGAUCACGGCGUCUGGGGUUGCCCUGGGUUUUAACAGUCUGGAUAAAGCCUGCUGGACUCCCGUCAGUCUUUGAACCAGAGGCCGACACCCCAGGAAAAAGUUGGUGGAAAGUCCUUCAGUGUCCAUCUGUGUGGCAGGCAAAAUGGACGCUGCAACAGCAUGGCUCAGACGGCCAUCUUGGUUUUCAGCGUGGGAGCAGAGGGACAGCACUGCGCCAAAAGACAAAGAGGGAGAUGAGGAGAGAAAUGGCAGAAUUUAGCUUUUUUUUCCCACAUGCACCUCAAACUCUUUUCAAUCUGUCAGUUGCCAUUGUUUAGCUUUUUGGAUUCUCUGAAAUUUUAGAGCCUUUUAUGAUUUAUGUAAAUCUUCCCACAAGGCUCUGGUGGGAACAGAUGUUGCAAAAAUCCUGCUAGGUCACCAAAAAGUUAAAAAAAAAAAAGGAUAAAAUGAGGCAAAAUUAAGAGUCUGUAACCAUGCUAACAGUAAUGAGUCGCUGUACCAGAUUGUUAAUAUAUUUCCAAUGUCUUAACAUAUAGUCAAUUUCUUUACAAAAAAAAGUGGUGAACCAACCAAAUAAUGCAGUUUGUUCAGUCCCUCCUGAGAGUGGAAACACACUGAUGUGGAUUUCUUUGUUUCAGCGACCAUCUUGUAACACUAAAAACAACACCUGGAACCUGCCAUGUUGCAGGAAGUGUGAAGGGGGUUUAAGAGUUCCUGGAGAGCGGACACACUGCAGAAACAUUGUAUGUGAAAAAUCUGAGUCAAACAACCUUUUCACACGUUACCAACACAGGAAAAUGGCAGAGCAUCUAUGUUUGAAGGUGCAAGUGGGAAAAGAGCUUCUGUCUGUUGUAUUGUUAGCAGAAAAAUUUAAGAGGGUUUCUUUUUGUAUUAGAGCUGUGUUACAGUGGUUUAAAAAAUGUUAUAUGAUGUUUUUUUGUUUCUUUACAAACUGUAAUCUUAGUCACAUCUGGACCUGUCAUUAUAUUAGCGACAUAUAUCCAUGGGGAUCCUUCUUGUUUGUCACGUUCUCUCAGCACGAAGUUGUUUUCCUCCUCAUCAUUUCCCGUCUUGGCUGAAAUGUGAACAUCAGACAGGCGGCCAUUUUGGCUCUGACUUGAGCUCCAGAGCCACAGGGCACCCAGCGGUUGCUCAGUAGUCAGUGUAGAUCCUGUGGGGCUGGCAGCAGCUACAUCUGGCUACUGGGUCUCUGCUGGCAGCCAUGUCAUUCAGGGUAUAUGACGACGAUGUGCAGGCUUAUGGCAUGAUUGAAUAAUCAUAUUUAAUGAGCUCUCUAGAAUGUUUCUGAACUAGAUUAGUGGGUUACUUUCUAACAGUGUUUUCCAUGUGCAGUUCACACCAUCCCCUUGUGAUCUUUUCUGCUACGCAGCUUUAAAAUUUCAAAGAAGUGUCUCGACAGCCCACCCACUGUGAAGAGAAAAGCCUCCAGCAGAGAAAUCUCAGACUGCAUGGGUAGUUUAGAGAGGGAGCACCACCAGCAGGAAUUUUAUUUUAAAUGAAUAUGAAGUAAUGAGAUACUGGGUAAGUUCUGGACCUGGCAUACAGUGUAGGAUUCUGUGUGUGUCAGUCUACAGCUACAUUGUCUGCUGGGUUUCAGGCCUAUACUCACAUUUUAUCAUUAUUUUGAAUAUUUACUGUAAAUCCAUUUACUGUAAAUAGUAUCAUCGAGGACUGUGGUAUGUUAAAGGAGCCAUGGAGCAUGGAUAAUUUGACAACUUUGUGUUUAUUGACUCAUCAUAAAACAUUCUUCAAACAAUAAAACAAUUUUAAAUGUC